rnacentral:rRNA from 1 species
UGGUGGAGCGAUUUGUCUGGUCAAUUCCGAUAACGAACAAGACUCUAGCCUACUAAAUAGUUCGGGGACCCCCACAAAGGGGCCCCGCUUCAACUUCUUAGAGGGACAGGUGGCGUUUAGCCACACGAGAUUGAGCAACAACA